AUACGGAGGGUGCAAGCGUUACUCGGAAUCACUGGGCGUAAAGCGCGCGCAGGCGGCGAUUUAAGUUGGAUGUGAAAGCCUACGGCCCAACCGUAGAACUGCAUCCAAAACUAUUUAGCUAGAGUGUGGGAGAGGAAGAUGGAAUUAGUUGUGUAGGGGUAAAAUCCGUAGAGAUAACUAGGAAUACCAAAAGCGAAGGCAAUCUUCUGGAACACUACUGACGCUGAGGCGCGGAAGCGUGGGGAGCAAACAGGAUUAGAAACCCUAGUAGUCC
rnacentral:rRNA from 1 species